CGCGGCCCACCCAGUCCGCGAGAACCGGGCAGAUCGCCUCGACGGUACGGAGGCCGGCCGACGGGUCCGCCAAACGACGAGACCACGCCUCCAGCACGGACUGCCGAUAUUGGAGCCCCCGCGCUCCGGCUGCACUUGCGCUAGGGCGCGCCGCCUCGUAGGAGACUGUGAGGUGCUGUGGCAGGUCCAACCAGAGACGUCAACGUGUGUUCCAGAGCUUCAGUGUGUUACAGAUAAGUGGUUUUGGCUUCCCCUUUAUGUUCCAUUCAGGGUCAGAAUGUAGUCUUAUAAAACAAAGUCAUAGUAAUUUAUUCAAUGGUAAGCGGUUUCAUGAACAAGUCACUCUUUGAUCUGAAAGUAACUUAGACCAAUCAUGAUGGCAAGAGCACUUAGGGGAUAUUCAACUCGCCCUUAAUAGUGCACGUUGUCGAGUAACAGGGUUUACUCCAAUAGAAUAGACGUUUGCCGUUCAGGGUAGUUCACUUGAAAUAUCUAAAGUUUCAACAGAGUGAUAAUCCCUCUAGAUUAGAUCUUGAUUUAGCACGGUCGAAGACCGGCGAAAACAUAAAAAAAGGGCACAAACAGAAGCUUGGUUUAGUCGAGGCAAAGCUAAAGUCAAACUCUUUUCCGCUGGGGAUUUUGUUUUCGUAAGUUGACCGAAAAUGUAAAGGUCCCUUCAACAUUACUGCAGUUUUGGAAAACGAUAGGUAUAAAUUGAGACAUGUAAAUAGUUCUAAUAGAGUGUACAAAUUUCCCCAUGAAAACUUACGUGAAAUACCUCGAGGCCCGUCAGGCCUACUAGAAAUUUCUGAAAAUUAUAGUGACGAUGACGUGACGGCGUACACAGAUGGGUUAAUUAAUCUUGUUCAUGAAACUGAUCUUAAUGAUGACGACUCUAUCACUGACAAUAGAAGCGACAUUUUUGUCCGCAAAUAGCGAUACAGCAAACAUAGUCUGUGGGUAGUGAUACAAUGUCUGUAAGCUCAGGCACCUCAGGUGCAGGUGUUGGAAAUGUAGAAAACGAUGGUCGGUCUCGCACUAUUUCUGAAGAAAUUCCGUAUAAAUGUUCUGGUUUAAGAAAUGUUUUAACAAACGCUACCGUACACGCAGAUUAAAAAAAAAAAAAAAAAAGAAAAAAAAAGAGAAUUGUAUGUGGCUAGAGAGAUGUUAAUCCGGACUAGCAAAAAAAAAAGAGAAAAAAAAGUGUGAAGUCAUUGAAGGGUCUGUCCGGUCCAAUGGCUUGGCUAUAGGGAUUUUCAUCCAGAUUAGCCACAACAAUUAGCUACAGGGAUUGCGAUUCGGUCUAGCAUUAUCCGGUCCAGUUCGAAAAACUGAAGGGAUAACAA
rnacentral:lncRNA from 1 species